rnacentral:rRNA from 1 species
ACUCGGGUGAAGGAACUAGGCAAAAUGGUACCGUAACUUCGGGAGAAGGUACGCUCUUGAUGGUGAAGUCCCUCGCGGAUGGAGCUGACGAGAGUCGCAGAUACCAGGUGGCUGCAACUGUUUAUUAAAAACACAGCACUGUGCAAAAUCGUAAGAUGACGUAUACGGUGUGACGCCUGCCCGGUGCCGGAAGGUUAAUUGAUGGGGUUAGACUUCGGUCGAAGCUCUUGAUCGAAGCCCCGGUAAACGGCGGCCGUAACUAUAACGGUCCUAAGGUAGCGAAAUUCCUUGUCGGGUAAGUUCCGACCUGCACGAAUGGCGUAAUGAUGGCCACGCUGUCUCCACCCGAGACUCAGUGAAAUUGAAAUCGCUGUGAAGAUGCAGUGUACCCGCGGCUAGACGGAAAGACCCCGUGAACCUUUACUACAGCUUGGCACUGAACAUUGACCCUACAUGUGUAGGAUAGGUGGGAGGCUUUGAAGCACGUACGCCAGUAUGUGUGGAGCCGUCCUUGAAAUACCACCCUUGUAGUGUUGAUGUUCUAACGUCGACCCCUUAUCGGGGUUGCGGACAGUGCCUGGUGGGUAGUUUGACUGGGGCGGUCUCCUCCCAAAGAGUAACGGAGGAGCACGAAGGUGGGCUAAUCACGGUUGGACAUCGUGAGGUUAGUGCAAUGGCAUAAGCCCGCUUGACUGCGAGAAUGACAAUUCGAGCAGGUGCGAAAGCAGGUCAUAGUGAUCCGGUGGUUCUGAAUGGAAGGGCCAUCGCUCAACGGAUAAAAGGUACUCCGGGGAUAACAGGCUGAUACCGCCCAAGAGUUCAUAUCGACGGCGGUGUUUGGCACCUCGAUGUCGGCUCAUCACAUCCUGGGGCUGAAGUCGGUCCCAAGGGUAUGGCUGUUCGCCAUUUAAAGUGGUACGCGAGCUGGGUUUAGAACGUCGUGAGACAGUUCGGUCCCUAUCUGCCGUGGGCGUUGGAAGAUUGAAGGGGGCUGCUCCUAGUACGAGAGGACCGGAGUGGACGAACCUCUGGUGUUCGGGUUGUGUCGCCAGACGCAUUGCCCGGUAGCUAAGUUCGGAAUCGAUAACCGCUGAAAGCAUCUAAGCGGGAAGCGAGCCCUGAGAUGAGUCUUCCCUGAUACUUUAAGUAUCCUAAAGGGUUGUCGGAGACUACGACGUUGAUAGGUCAGGUGUGUAAGUGCUGUGAGGCAUUGAGCUAACUGAUACUAAUUGCCCGUGAGGCUUAACCAUACAACACCCAAGGGGUUU